GGCUGGUCCAAGUAUAGUGAUGUUUACAACUAACUGAUCAACACUAGUUACAGAUGUUCCUUCUCCACUCCCACUGCUCCACUUGUCUAGCCUUAU
rnacentral:Y_RNA from 1 species